GACAUUCCUUUCCAGCGCCAGUCAAAACAAAGUUGCGAAGACUCUUCGUCGCCGCAUAUUUGCAGUCUGUCACCGUGAGCGGAUUUUAAACGCGUAAUAAAGUCGUUCAAGGCUUCAAUCGUGUCGGCUAGUGCAUUUCCGUGCUCUCCGGGAACGUGUGUGUCGAGCCAUUCGUGAAUAAUUGGAAUUCGGGCGCUAGCGUGCGACCGCCGCUUCUGACAACUCCAACCGCGGGGUCUGGUCGGGGUGCCCUGCUUGAUAUGUGCGAGGGGUGCCCUGCUUGAUAUGUGCGAGGGGCGCCCGUUCGGGUCUUUUGGAAUCCUUUGCGAAAUCGAGCCCUCAACAGAAUAAUCUGUUGGAUCACAACGAAAGGACGAGGGCUGCGCUCGUCGGUCGGAAAUGAGCAGUCAAAGUCACAAAAUGUCCGGAGUUGGUUCAAAAAGUAGAACGGGAGAAAUUGAACUGACAGAACGUUUUUCGGACCAAAUGGCAAAACUGUGCAUAAACGACGACUACUCGGACGUGACGUUCAUCGUGGAGAACCAGAGGCUGCCCGCGCACCGGGUCGUGCUGGCUGCUCGCAGCGAGUACUUCCGGGCUCUGCUCUACGGCGGCCUGUCCGAGACCAACCAAUCCGAGAUCCAGCUGAAGAUCCCGCUGGAGGCCUUCAAGGCGCUGCUCCGCUACAUUUACUCAGGUCACAUGUCGCUGUCGCAGAUGAAGGAGGAGAACAUUUUGGACACUUUGGGCCUGGCCAACCAGUACGGCUUCACCGAGCUGGAACUCGCAAUCUCGGACUAUCUGCGCCAGGUUCUGUCCUUGAACAACGUUUGCGCCAUUCUGGAUGCCGCCAGACUCUACAAUCUCGAAACUCUCACAAAUGUCUGUUACACAUUUAUGGAUCGUAAUGCAUCUGAAAUACUUGCACAUUCUACAUUCAAACAUCUAUCAAAGGAAUCACUUGAAGAGGUACUUCGUCGUGACUCUUUUUUUGCGCCCGAAGUUCAAAUAUUCGUCGCUGUGAGUGAAUGGUGUAAGCACAAUUCCAAUGUUGACAUCGAAUCCGUUGUGUCGUAUGUUCGCCUGCCGCUGAUGAACUUCGAUCAUCUUUUCGAGGUUGUACGCCGCUCCGGAAUUCUGGAUCCCAAUAGACUUUUGGAUGCCAUCGAAGAGAAAACAACAUCAAAAUGUCUACCGUAUCGUGGUGCAUUAUGGCCUGAAGAAAAUGUUGCUGCAGUGAAAUUUAACUCGAGAACGAUACAAGGGGAAUGGGGGUCGGCACUACUGGAUGGGGAUAUAGAGUCAUAUGACAUGGAAAAAGGAUAUACUCGCCACUCGAUCGACAGUUUAGAUACUGGUAUCAUUGUCGAAUUGGGUACAAUCAGCAUCAUAAAUCACAUCAAAAUUUUAUUGUGGGAUAAGGACACUCGGUCGUAUUCAUACUACGUAGAAGUCUCUGUCAACCAAGAGCAGUGGGAUCGCGUUGUGGAUUAUUCAACAUAUCAUUGUCGAUCGUGGCAAUUUCUGUAUUUUCCAUCCCGUGCCGUUCGUUACAUUAAACUGGUUGGUACGCAUAAUAGUGUGAAUAAGGUGUUCCAUGCAGUGGCGCUAGAGGCAAUGUAUACAGCCAAUGUACCAAAACUUGUUGAUGGAUUCGUCGCUCCUACGAACAACGUGGCAACAGUUGCCCUAAGCGCAACUGUAAUUGAGGGAGUCAGUCGAACACGAAAUGCGCUUUUGAAUGGAGACUAUACCAACUAUGAUUGGGAUUACGGAUAUACUUGCCAUCAGUUGGGGAGCGGAGUAAUAUUGGUUCGCCUCGGUCAACCUUAUUAUAUUGGUUCGCUCCGCCUUCUUCUGUGGGAUUGUGAUGCGCGAACAUAUUGCUUCUAUAUAGAAACAUCAAACAAUCAAAAAGAUUGGGAAAUGGUUGUGGACAAACGGAGCGAGCCGGUUCGCUCUUGGCAGAAUUUUUCCUUUACACCCCGUCCGAUUACAUUCAUAAAGAUCGUUGGUACAAAUAAUACUGCGAACGAAAUAUUCCAUUGUGUACACUUUGAAUGUCCGUCACAAGAUCAAAACUUCCUACACUCGGAGAAGGCCAGAGGCAAGGAAAAGGAGAAGGUGAAACAACUGAAUACGGAGCGAUCGGCCGACCAACAAUCGUUACAAACUAAAACGCAAUGUGAUGAGGACAGCAUAAACUAGACGUUCAUCUCGGAGAAACAUUACAUAGAAAAGUAUUACUUACAAUUGAUGAAGAUUAUGGUUAUAAGGAUCUGUUCAAACUCCUUGAAGGAAUUGAAUAAAUCACACGAAACGGAAACGAAUAUUCCAAUUAAGAGAGAUUUGAAAAUGAUAUAUUUUAGUAUUAUCAAAAUACUUGUUGUAAUUAUUUAAAGAGUUGAAAGAUAUUUUAUUGUUCGUUUUAUUUUCUUUUAGUUUAAAUAGAAUUUAUAGAAAAGAAA
rnacentral:misc_RNA from 1 species